rnacentral:rRNA from 1 species
GAUGAACGCUGGCGGCGUGCCUAAUACAUGCAAGUCGAGCGAAUGGAUUAAGAGCUUGCUCUUAUGAAGUUAGCGGCGGACGGGUGAGUAACACGUGGGUAACCUGCCCAUAAGACUGGGAUAACUCCGGGAAACCGGGGCUAACACCGGAUAACAUUUUGAACCGCAUGGUUCGAAAUUGAAAGGCGGCUUCGGCUGUCACUUAUGGAUGGACCCGCGUCGCAUUAGCUAGUUGGUGAGGUAACGGCUCACCAAGGCAACGAUGCGUAGCCGACCUGAGAGGGUGAUCGGCCACACUGGGACUGAGACACGGCCCAGACCCCUACGGGAGGCAGCAGUAGGGAAUCUUCCGCAAUGGACGAAAGUCUGACGGAGCAACGCCGCGUGAGUGAUGAAGGCUUUCGGGUCGUAAAACUCUGUUGUUAGGGAAGAACAAGUGCUAGUUGAAUAAGCUGGCACCUUGACGGUACCUAACCAGAAAGCCACGGCUAACUACGUGCCAGCAGCCGCGGUAA